UGUUCCAGUCCAAACCCAGAGGCCUGAGGAGCAGGAGAGCCAAGUCCCAGUCCAAGUCUGAAGGCCCAAGAAUCAGAAGCACGGAUGUCCAAGGGAAAUGAGCCCUUGGGGGGAAAUGAACUAUCUUUCUUUCUUGAGCCACCUUUGUCAGAAGCUUCCUGUGCCCCUUGGAGAGAUGAGAAAUGAAGGAUCCAGGAAGUUAAAUGACUUUCCCAAGACUGAUGGGGCUUGGACGCAAGCCUGGAACUUUCUGUCAUAUCACACUGCCUCCUGAGACACAAGUUGCGUAUCGAGCUGGAGGAUGUAGAAAGAGGAGGAGGAGAAGGAAAAUAAGAAGAUGAGACAUUGGUCAGCCCUGAGGACUGGGUGUCCUACUUGGCGAGAUGGAGCAAGACACGACCACUAUAAAUAUUAAAUAAGAGGACUCAGCACGUGGUGGUUUAAUGGAUGCGGAUAAGGAAUCAAGACGCAAGCCAGGAAUUUGAUCCAGGAGCCUGGGAAGAUUAUGCAUUGUGGAAAAUCCAGAGUGGGAGCCGGUCCUGGAGGAGAGAGGAGCCAGGCCGGGGAGCCACUAAAAUCUACUGGACUGGGCCAGUGAGAUGAGCCUCUUUUCCAUGCCUGGGCUUGAACACAUACUUGAAGGAUGAUGAGAAGGCAGGACUCAUGGCUGACCUGGGACAGAUGGAGUGACAUGUCCUGUGUGGUCCCAGGGACAAUGUUUGGGCCAAUUCAGGGAUGUUGCAAAGAGGCAGAUUUUGGCUCAGUUCAAGGAAGAACUUCACAACAAUUGCUGAUAUUUUAACCAUGAAGGAGGCAAAAAAGGAGUUUCAGUCCCCAGAAGCCUUGAGUAGAAUAUGGACUUGCCGAGGAUGCUGAAGAAGGGAGCCAGGCUCCAGGGCGGCCUCACCACCUGCUGGAAGAUCUGUCGGCUUGGACUUCGGAGCACGUGUGCCCCAGCUCAGCUGUUUGUCGAUGGUCCCUCUGCCAUCGCUGGAACUUUUCUAGGAUGUGACUUGGGGCUCCUCCCCUCCUGCCUGGGUUUGGAUUCUAGCCUUCCCUGGCUGGACCUCCCUGCCCAGUUGCCCGGGUCAUUCCCAGGCAGCCUCGCUUGGAUAUGGUUCCCCGCACGUGCCGGCUGCCCCGCGGGGAUGGGGACUGUCUUCCCUGUCUGCCCCAGGCUCCCAAGGCCCGGCCCACAGCUGUGCUGGAACAGGAGUGUGAUGGAUCAUGCCAGUUUCCUCAGUUCUUAUCUUGCCAUCAUCAAAUGAUUCCCCCCAACCCCCUUACAGUCUUCUCCCUUUACCGAUGGUUUUGGAUGGAAUUUAAAAUAAAAAAGAUUGAUUAAAAGUUGGAAAAUGUGUAAGUGAAAAUAAAAGCACUUAAGACCAAUAAGUAUUAUUUGAGCUUUAAUGUACAGAAAAAGCUGGGUAAGAUGAUGU